UACGUAGGGGGCAAGCAUUGUCCGGAUUUAUUGGGCGUAAAGAGCGUGUAGGCGGCCAGGUAGGUCUGCUGUGAAAACUCGAGGCUUAACCUCGAGCUGUCGGCGGAAACCAUCUGGCUAGAGUCCGGAAGAGGAGAAUGGAAUUCCUGGUGUAGCGGUGAAAUGCGCAGAUAUCAGGAGGAACACCGGUGGCGAAGGCGGAUCUCUGGGCCUUGCCUGACGCUGAGGCGCGAAAGCUAGGGGAGCGAACAGG
rnacentral:rRNA from 1 species